rnacentral:rRNA from 1 species
AACGAACGCUGGCGGCAGGCUUAACACAUGCAAGUCGAGCGCCCCGCAAGGGGAGCGGCAGACGGGUGAGUAACGCGUGGGAACGUACCUUUUGCUACGGAAUAACUCAGGGAAACUUGUGCUAAUACCGUAUGUGCCCUUCGGGGGAAAGAUUUAUCGGCAAAGGAUCGGCCCGCGUUGGAUUAUCUAGUUGGUGAGGUAAAGGCUCACCAAGGCGACGAUCCAUAGCUGGUCUGAGAGGUUGAUCAGCCACACUGGGACUGAGACACGGCCCAGACUCCUACGGGAGGCAGCAGUGGGGAAUAUUGGACAAUGGGCGCAAGCCUGAUCCAGCCAUGCCGCGUGAGUGAUGAAGGCCCUAGGGUUGUAAAGCUCUUUCACCGGUGAAGAUAAUGACGGUAACCGGAGAAGAAGCCCCGGCUAACUUCGUGCCAGCAGCCGCAGUAAAA